AUGAAAGGAAUUUAUAAAACUCCUUUCGCUACUCAUGGUUUUGUCACUAGCUACUUGGCUGACUUGAAACACAUACAGAAACCUAUUGAGAGGGCAACGACAACUCCAAGGGCUCGCCCAACUGCUUGGCAGCCUCCACCGGAGGAUCAUGUUAAAAUUAAUGUCGAUGCAGCUGUGCCACGGGCUGGUGGAAGGGGGGAUGUGGGAGCCGUUUGCCGCGAUGCAGCGGGUGUGUAUUUGGGGGCCUCGGCAGUUAUCUUCAGCAACAUAGUCGACCCGGAGAUGCUGGAAGUUCUAGCUACAAGGGAAGCACUGGCGCUUGCCGAGGACUUGUAG
rnacentral:rRNA from 1 species